AUACGUAGGUGGCAAGCGUUGUCCGGAAUUAUUGGGCGUAAAGCGCAUGUAGGCGGUUUGGUAAGUCGGUCGUGAAAAUGCGGUGCUUAACGCCGUAUGGCGAUUUAAACUGCUGAACUUGAGUGCAGGAGAGGAAAGGGGAACUCCCAGUGGAACGGUGAAAUUCGUAGAUAUUGGGAGGAACACCAGGGGCGAAGGCGACUUACUGGGCCGUAACUGACGCUGAGGCGCGAAAGCGUGGGGAGCGAACAGGAUUAGAUACCCUGGUAGUCCACGCGGUAAACGAUGAAUGCUAGGUGUUGCGGGUAUCGACCCCUGCAGUGCCGGAGUAAACACAAUAAGCAUUCCGCCUGGGGAGUACGGCCGCAAGGUUGAAACUUAAAUGAAUUGGCGGGG
rnacentral:rRNA from 1 species